rnacentral:pre_miRNA from 1 species
UCUUAUGGAUGAACAAAGAAUGUAUUUUCUUAAGAUGGAAUCUAUUCCUGGUGAAGAUGCUGUGAA